rnacentral:rRNA from 1 species
CAGUCGCCGCGGUAAUACAGAGGGUGCAAGCGUUAAUCGGAAUUACUGGGCGUAAAGUGCGCGUAGGUGGUUUGUUAAGUUGGAUGUGAAAUCCCCGGGCUCAACCUGGGAACUGCAUCCAAAACUGGCAAGCUAGAGUAUGGUAGAGGGUGGUGGAAUUUCCUGUGUAGCGGUGAAAUGCGUAGAUAUAGGAAGGAACACCAGUGGCGAAGGCGACCACCUGGACUGAUACUGACACUGAGGUGCGAAAGCGUGGGGAGCAAACAGGAUUAGAUACCCCAGUAGUCCCUGUCUCUUAUAC